GUCUAAAAUAAUAAUAAACAUUAAAUGCCAGAUUGUAUGCAACCCUUGGCCUGAACGAGAGGCAGACUCUGAAGGCGGCCCAUGCCAUAUCCAACUGGAUGGGCAUCAUGCUGAAGUCCCAAAUCUCGCUGACCCGCACUACACCCGCCUACAAGCUGUUGCCCCGCCAGUGCCCCGGAUCCUACUGCAUCUUCUACCGCAUCUACAUAUGUGGACAGGCCCCAGGUGCACACUCUGGGCGAGGGCCACAAGCACGGGCAGCUCAACACGAUUGUGGGCUCGCUGGUGAUGUCGGUGGCCUAUCGAACCAAACUCACGAUUUCGCCAAUGACCGCCCAGGCGAAAAGCAAUUCCAGGUCAUGUCACGUUUCAAAGUUUCCAUUGAUGAGCUACCGGGGAAGAACGUUCAGAACCUGGAGAACCUGGUGACCAAAGGAGAGCGGGUGCAAAUGUGAGUAAAAUGGGGGAGAUUCUUUCUUUUUAAGACUUCAAUUAUCCCUUGAACGCCAUCCGAGAUCGACAGCAAUCGAGUUCCUUGAGCACCAUGCUCGAGUUUAACAUGGUCAAUGGACAGCCCUUCUGCGAAGACAGGCGGAAAAUAAUCUCCUACUUAAGUGUGGAUAUACCCAAGUACUCAAGUACUUUGUUUCCGGAAAACAUAGGUGGAAAGGCGAUGGUAUUCGCAGUGGAGCAACGCCAACGCCUCCAUCGGUGGGAUCCACUUGUCCGUUGAUUUUACUUCUUUUGGACACACAACUAAAUCACAAUGUGUAAAAUGUAGAUAGAUGUAAGAUAGAAAUUUAAGUAAGAAGAAAACAAGGAUUGACUUUUGCUUGGAA
rnacentral:misc_RNA from 1 species